AAGACUACACUUUCAGGAAUCUUUUCUACAGUUUGUUACUAGAGAAUUUUCUCUGACUGUAGAGUACUGGAAGCCAUGAGGAAGAGGUAAGGAGUUCUCUUCUGAGAGUGAAGCUGCCCUUGGGUGUUGUUUUAUUACAACUGCCUAUCACAACUAAUGAUUGCUUUCUCCAUUUGGGAGAGUUAGAAGGAGAGGACACAGUCUGAGUAGA
ensembl:snoRNA U3 Small nucleolar RNA U3